AGACCCGAAACCCGGUGAUCUAGCCAUGGGCAGGUUGAAGGUUGGGUAACACUAACUGGAGGACCGAACCGACUAAUGUUGAAAAAUUAGCGGAUGACCUGUGGCUGGGGGUGAAAGGCCAAUCAAACCGGGAGAUAGCUGGUUCUCCCCGAAAGCUAUUUAGGUAGCGCCUCGUGAAUUCAUCUCCGGGGGUAGAGCACUGUUUCGGCUAGGGGGCCAUCCCGGCUUACCAACCCGAUGCAAACUGCGAAUACCGGAGAAUGUUAUCACGGGAGACACACGGCGGGUGCUAACGUCCGUCGUGAAGAGGGAAACAACCCAGACCGCCAGCUAAGGUCCCAAAGUCAUGGUUAAGUGGGAAACGAUGUGGGAAGGCCCAGACAGCCAGGAUGUUGGCUUAGAAGCAGCCAUCAUUUAAAGAAAGCGUAAUAGCUCACUGGUCGAGUCGGCCUGCGCGGAAGAUGUAACGGGGCUAAACCAUGCACCGAAGCUGCGGCAGCGACACUGUGUGUUGUUGGGUAGGGGAGCGUUCUGUAAGCCUGUGAAGGUGUGUCGUGAGGCAUGCUGGAGGUAUCAGAAGUGCGAAUGCUGACAUAAGUAACGAUAAAGCGGGUGAAAAGCCCGCUCGCCGGAAGACCAAGGGUUCCUGUCCAACGUUAAUCGGGGCAGGGUGAGUCGACCCCUAAGGCGAGGCCGA
rnacentral:rRNA from 1 species